UAUGGAGGGUGCAAGCGUUGUUCGGAAUCACUGGGCGUGAAGCGCGUGUAGGCGGCCUCUUAAGUCUGGUGUGAAAGCCCGGGGCUCACCCCCGGAAGGGCACUGGAUACUGGGAGGCUAGAGUACCGGAGAGGAGGGUGGAAUUCCUGGUGUAGCGGUGAAAUGCGUAGAUAUCAGGAGGAACACCGGUGGCGAAGGCGGCCCUCUGGACGGCUACUGACGCUGAGACGCGAAAGCGUUGGGAGCAAACAGG
rnacentral:rRNA from 1 species